CUGACGGACACUUGGGUUGUUUCUACUUUGGGUUGUCAUGAACAGGGCUGCCUGGAACAUGGGAGGACUUGUGUGAGUCCCAGCUUUCAGCUCUCUCGAGUGUAUGCCUAGCAGUGGCAUUGCUGGGUCACGUGGUAAUUCCUUUUGGAGUUUUUGACAAGCCAGCAGAGGGUCUACCAGAGCGGCCGUGCCGUUUCACAUUCCCGCCAGCGACACGCAAGCGUUCCAGCCUCUCCACAUCCUCGCUGGCACUUUCCACUCUUCGAUUAUCGCCAACCUUCUGAUGUGAAUAGCCAGACUUCUUGCGCGUCAGCCCGUGUUAAGGCUCAUGUCACCUGAGAGCACCAGAUGGGUCUUCUCACGCGACUUUCAGAUGUGGCCUCAUGGACGGGAAGGUCACCUCCACCACACACGCUCCUGCCCGUGUCCAAGGGGAGAGGCUCCGCUUUUCCACGGGAGGAGCGCCAGAAUUGAGGGAAAGAACAUGUUUAACAAUCACGACAUCUCCACAACAUUUCUCAUUCGCUCUCUGACCAGUGCCACUCAACGUGUCAUCUCGUCACAAGACAAAGAGCUUAUACCAGAAGAGACAUCAGCAUGCUGCCCCUUCGUCAGGACAGUCUUGUCAGCUGACCCAACUGCGCUGCCUCUCAGGGUCCUGGGACACAGCGAAAGACCCCAGGAGUGUGGUGCGCUUCUGAUUGUGCGGCACUGUCGAGCGUGUUCCUGACAAGAGCGAAUGUCUGUAUCGAGCAGGUAUUGAUGAGAAUCAAGUCUUCCUGGUUUAUAUUCACACACCUGCUGGUGGGAAGAAUUUUCCACAGACUUCCGGCUCCACAUAUAUCAAGCCUCAUCUCUUCUCCACAACCGGUACUCCCUGUUCCAGGUCCCGUAGGACACGUUCCUAUCACAGUACAACCGUGGCCUUGCUCCUUCUGGUUACGACACCAGGUGUCAGGCAGUGGACAAGAAGCAUGUUCUUGAAGCCAGCCCUACCCCAGGAUGACUGGCAAUGACCUACUAAAUGCAGAAGUGACUGUGAACGCACAAAUAUAUCCCACUAACCUCAAACGAAUCGUGUCCCUAACUCUGCUUACCCUUAGCCAGAACCCAAAAGUACCAUGUGGCCUCAACAUCAC
rnacentral:lncRNA from 1 species